rnacentral:rRNA from 1 species
UACGUAGGGAGCUAGCGUUGUUCGGAAUUACUGGGCGUAAAGCGCACGUAGGCGGCUUUGUAAGUUAGAGGUGAAAGCCCGGGGCUCAACCCCGGAAUUGCCUUUAAGACUGCAUCGCUUGAAUCCAGGAGAGGUGAGUGGAAUUCCGAGUGUAGAGGUGAAAUUCGUAGAUAUCAGGAGGAACAUCGGUGGCGAAGGCGGCUUCCUGGACAAUUACUGACGCUGAGACGCGAAGGCGUGGGGAGCAAACAGG